rnacentral:rRNA from 2 species
GUGYAUAUCAAUAAGCGGAGGAAAAGAAACCAACAGGGAUUGCCCUAGUAACGGCGAGUGAAGCGGCAACAGCUCAAAUUUGAAAUCUGGCGCAAGCCCGAGUUGUAAUUUGUAGAGGAUGCUUCUGGCCAGCGGCCGUUSUAAGUUCCUUGGAACAGGACGUCAUAGAGGGUGAGAAUCCCGUAUGUGACCGGCGCGCAGCCUUUACGUAGCUCCUUCGACGAGUCGAGUUGUUUGGGAAUGCAGCUCUAAAUGGGAGGUAAAUUUCUUCUAAAGCUAAAUACCGGCCAGAGACCGAUAGCGCACAAGUAGAGUGAUCGAAAGAUGAAAAGCACUUUGGAAAGAGAGUUAAAAAGCACGUGAAAUUGUUGAAAGGGAAGCGCUUGCAACCAGACUUCGUAGCGAUGUUCCGCCGGUCUUCUGACCGGUCUACUCAUCGUCGCGAGGCCAACAUCGUCUGGGGCCGCCGGAUAAGACCUAAGGAAUGUAGCUUCCCUCGGGAAGUGUUAUAGCCUUUGGUGAUGCGGCGCGUCUCGGGCGAGGUCCGCGCUCGGCAAGGA